AACAAACUAUUAAUACAACAAAAUUCGAUUCAAUUUUAUUUGUAAAGCAAAGGACAUUGUCCAAAAGCAGCUUUACAGAAAAGCUAAUUAUAUAUUGUUAUUACAACUGCUGUCAAAAUUAGUACGCAAGCUAGCUAAAACAUUAAGGCAUCGAGGCUCCAGUGCAGAACCAUGAAGAAGCAAACCAUGUUGUGGCUGACCAACUACAUCUGGGGGUAAGGAGAUGUCUAUGUACCGUUUAUGGAAGGAGUCUCCAGUGUCAGCACUUUGUAACACACAGAGGUGAAGCUGGAACUUGGAAAGUUUUCCGACAUCCUCAAGACGGCGGAGUGUAAUAAUAAUAAUAAUAAGUUUUAUUUAUAUAGCGCCUUUCCGUAGCUCAAGGACGCUUUACAAUCAGGAACAAAGAACAACCGAACAUAUAGACGAGAAAGAAAAAAAAAAGUGAGGCGUCAGAAGUAGAGAGGUAGUGUUGGAAAAAGAGCAAGAAUUUAAUCUGUGAUUGAAUAAGGAUGUGGAGGAUAUGUUCCGGAGAUUUUAGGGGUGUGAGUUCAAUAACUUGGGGGCA